UCACCCAAACCAGCAGUUUCACCUCCUAUUGUUACUAAUGGAAACGACGACGAAUUGACCGUCUAGAAAAGACGCAACACCAAUAUUGUAACACCUAUAAGUGAAGAGCUCCAAACCCACACAAGAAUUCUUCUUUUUUUGUUCUGGGCUUUGAGGUGUAUGGAUGUCGAGAAUUUUUUUUUUCAUUUUUUUCGUUAUUUUGUUUCUGGGUUCGCUUCAAUUAAGAGAACUAGGAAAUGGGUUUAAUGUGCAUUUAUAUUCUGGGAUGCCCCUUGCAGAAAUUUUUAAUUUUUAUGAAUAUUUGUAUUGUUUCACUGACCAUUUUUUUAUUUGUUGGAUUUUGUUUCCCUUCCAAUAUUUUCUUUGCGUACUAAAUUAGUGAAAGGGACAAAAGUUCAGUUCACCAAUGCCUGGUGAAACCCUUUUCGGAUGAUAAUUCUGGGAAGUCGGAUGGACCACAUUAGGAACAACAAUGAUCAAGAACAAGAAGAGAUGUUAUGCUCAAUUCUAUUUAGACUUUGGUCGAUUAUAGUCUUUGCCCUGGAGGUUAUGUUUUAGAUGAAUCUGUUUCAGAUUGGAAGAAAAUUUAAACCCAGAAAAAGUUUGGUUUCCUGUUGGCAAUGAAUAUGUUGAUCACAUCAUGAGUUUUCCAACUGAUUUAUUCAAUCCUAUCAGUUCUGAUUCUGUCCCUUUAUAGCAUUUGCAACACCAUAUGCCUUGCUCUCAUCACAGCUUGGCUUUCAGUUCCUCAGGGGGAAUGGUGGAUGUAAGAGUUUCUUUUACAACAAUUCAAAGGGAAGAGCUUGAGAGAUAGUGGACUCUUCCCUUAUUCCUCCACAUUCACUUUUACCAAUUUCCAAGAACACAUUAAAUUCCCUCAAAAUAUAAGCCGAGGUAUGGAAAAGCUUCGAAUUCCUUGGUUUCUCUAAUUAGUAUACAAAACUCUCAAAAAAGAAAGAAGUGAGGGUUGAAUGUCUACCCUCAUAUAUACAUAGAGAGAUAUGUAAAAGCUUAGAAUGGUGAAGUAAGGGUUCAAUGACUUAUUACUCAUUUUCGUCUAUUUAAAUAAAGUUCGCUUAUUGGGUUGAUUUGUGUUGUGUACAUAUACUUCUUGGGUUAAUUUAUGUUUUAUGGACUUAUUUGUUUCUGUAUCUGUUGCUGACAUAAUGGAUAGGGUGCCAAAAAGAAAGAUGGCAUUAGGAAUAAUGGCUUUUUGAUGGAAUUAGAGUUUGAUCUCUUCAUUUGGGUUGUGCAUAUUUCGUUUGAUCUCUUACUUUGGGUUGUGCAGAUUUCGUUUGAAUUAAUUUGGGUUAUGAGGAAGUGAAUAAUUAUUUGAAUUAAUUAAUUUCUCUUGGGUUGUGCAUAUUUCAUUUGAAUUAAUUUGGGUUGUGUUUGAGCAUUGUACAUGCAUGAACGUGGGUAAAGAGUACGAGGAUAAAGGGAAGAAAAAAUGUUGCGAUCAUCCACCUCAAUCAAUUUGUAAAGGUAGUUUUUGUACCCUUUUUUUGUUUAAAAUUAUAUGUUGUUCAUCUUUUAGGAGUAUGUCAUCGAGGAUUUGCCACGAAUUUAUGAGAAUUUCAUUUCAUCCAAACAAUGGGCGUUGGAAUGUUAGUGCCUUUUUAUUCAAAUUUUCUUUAUUUGAAUAUUAUGUGUGUAGAAGUGUAAAUUUGCAUAAUUGAAUCUUCGCUCCAAUUUUAUAUUUCAUUUCUUUGUAACUUUCUGCAUAACUUGGAAUUAGUUUUUCACAUAGCAUGGAUGAUGAAUAUAAGAAACUGAUCCACAGAAUGACUCCACCAAGGUAUAUACAAAUUAAAAUCAUAACUUGCUUCAAUAUAGAAGUAUAAAUUAUUUUUAGCACACAACUUUGACAUAAUAAUUUGUCUCAUAAAUUAUAAAUAUUGUAUAGAUUUAUGCUACCUGGCAAUCAACGACUAAUAUUACUUCCAACAAGGCAAGAUCAACAUAUGGCAUGUCACAGCAGUAUAUUUUCCACAAACAAAUGGUAAAAUUGUACCCAUCACAUUAGGCAAGUUUCAAUCUUUUUUACUUCCAUUUUAACACAUUUCUAAUUAACUUUUCAUACUAAAUUUUGAUUAUACAGAGACACCAAACUAGGGGUAUCUGAUCCAUCUUUAUACACCAUUUCAUUUUAUUUUUACAUUUUUACAAUAGAAAUGCUAUGAAACUAACUGCUAAUUGAUGAUGUUAUCAUUUAGAUGAUUUCAACUAUUGCUCAUAUUGAAACUAUUUAACUAAAUUCUACUAUAAAACAUGUAAACAAUGAUAUGAAACUUUGAAAAGGAAUACCUAAUCACAUUCCGGUGUUUUCAGUUUGAUUCAACGAUACAAUCUCUUAACUUACUUUCCAGUUACUUUUAUUUCAAGAUAUUACACUCUCUUUACAAUCCCAUAAUAAUUUUCCCAUCAAUCGGUUGCAAGUUAGAAUAUUCAAUUUCUAAUGCUACAGCAUCGUGCUACAGGUAAAUACAAACUUAAUGCCUUAUUGCAGCAUAUUCUCAACUUUUUAAUGCAUUUUGCAUGUUGUUCAUUAAUUUUGCUUCAGUUGGGGUCAUCAAAUUUGAUUACAUUCUUCAAUCUCGAUUGUACUCAUUUUGUGAUAAGUCAAUUAGAAUUUGUCAAUCAUUUUAAAGGCAUAUGAGACACAAUUUCUACUUUUCAGCAUGCCUUCCUCAUCUUUGAUCAUCACUUCAUUUCAUUUUGUCAAAUAGUACAUCAAUUUCCAUCUUCACUGUCUUAAUAUUGUUGUUAUAGUAAUUUAACUCAUGUUUGUCCAUAAAUUUUUCCUAAUUUUAAUACCUACAUUCUCAUUUUGUCUAUAAAUUGUUCUAAAACUUUAAUUUGAAUUUCUUUAUUCUUUAUUUAUUUUUCUUUUGUUGAUGCCAGGUGUUUCCAUGUACUAAAAUUGCAUCAAAUGCAGACUUUAUUAUGUUGAUGAAAGUGAGAGCAUCAACUCACAUUAACUAAACUCUCAACUCAAGUAAGUCCUCAGCUCCAUAUGCUUUUUAUUUUUUGACAUCUAAGUGGUUGACAUGGUUUUUGACCAUUAGAUCACGUGCCUUUACAUUUGCAAUUAUAUUGUUUUUGACUAUUUAUUAAAUGUAAUUGGAGAAAUUGUUUCUUUAAUCUACUUAUACUAUGGGAUUUCAAAGUUGAAUCCGUUUGCUUUCGAUC